rnacentral:rRNA from 1 species
GACAGGGGGUGCAAACGUUGCUCGGAAUCACUGGGCGUAAAGCGCACGUAGGCGGUCGUGUAAGUCGGGUGUGAAAGCCCUUGGCUCAACCAAGGAACAGCACCUGAUACUGCACGGCUUGAGGACGGGAGGGGAGAGUGGAACUCUUGGUGGAGCGGUGAAAUGCGUAGAUAUCAGGAGGAACACCGGUGGCGAAAGCGACUCUCUGGUCCGUUCCUGACGCUGAGGUGCGAAAGCUAGGGGAGCAAACGGG